UACGGAGGGAGCUAGCGUUGUUCGGAAUCACUGGGCGUAAAGCGCAGCGUAGGCGGUAUCUUUGAAGUACAGGGGUCGAAAUCCCGAGGCUCCAACCGUCGGAACUGUCCUUUGAUACUGGGGGAUCUCGAGUCCGGGGAGAGGUGAGUGGAACUGCGAGUGUAGAGGUGAAAUUCGUAGAUAUUCGCAAGAACACCAGUGGCGAAGGCGGCUCACUGGCCCGGAACUGACGCUGAGGUGCGAAAGCGUGGGGAGCAAACAGG
rnacentral:rRNA from 1 species